rnacentral:tRNA from 1 species
GCCGGAGUGGUGAAACCUGGCAAACACGCAUCACUCAAAAUGAUGUGGGCGUAAGCCCUUGUGGGUUCAAAUCCCACCUCCGGCACCA